GUAAAGAGACUACAACAACUGAGUCUGCUUGAAGACUUUACAACUGAGUCUGCUUGAAGUUGCUAUUCAGCAUCGGCCUCUAGAAGCCAAGCAGGACGGGGCUAUGCCCAUCCCUACAGAACAGCUUGCCAGGUAUUAUAGUUUUGCCCCAUGAAAUCAGCCUGUUUUCUUUAGAGAAGAAUGAAGAAGGAAAUCCUCAAAUACAUGGAUAUAAUUGUCUUCAUUAAAAGCUGGCUGAAAAGACUUUAUCCUGUGGGAUCUACUCUCUGUCUCUCUGAGAUUUGAUUGCAAGCUGCACAGGAGUGGGGAAAUCAGCAGCUGACCAAUACCCUGCACAGACAGGAUCUUUGCCAGACAUCCUGGGGAUGUUCUCAGAAGAGAUCAGGGCAGUAAAGUGAGAGUGGAGGCAGCCAUGAGUGUCUGCAGCCUUCCAGUGUCUGCACAGAAGUGCACAGGAGCCAGGAAAGUUAAGGCAGUUGUAAGCAAGUUCUCCUAGCCACUAUGAUGAUACCAACGAUCAUAUAAAUCAGCCAGCUCACUCAUUGAUGC